GAUGAACGCUAGCUACAGGCUUAACACAUGCAAGUCGAGGGGCAGCAUGGUCUUAGCUUGCUAAGGCCGAUGGCGACCGGCGCACGGGUGAGUAACACGUAUCCAACCUGCCGUCUACUCUUGGACAGCCUUCUGAAAGGAAGAUUAAUACAAGAUGGCAUCAUGAGUCCGCAUGUUCACAUGAUUAAAGGUAUUCCGGUAGACGAUGGGGAUGCGUUCCAUUAGAUAGUAGGCGGGGUAACGGCCCACCUAGUCUUCGAUGGAUAGGGGUUCUGAGAGGAAGGUCCCCCACAUUGGAACUGAGACACGGUCCAAACUCCUACGGGAGGCAGCAGUGAGGAAUAUUGGUCAAUGGGCGAGAGCCUGAACCAGCCAAGUAGCGUGAAGGAUGACUGCCCUAUGGGUUGUAAACUUCUUUUAUAAAGGAAUAAAGUCGGGUAUGGAUACCCGUUUGCAUGUACUUUAUGAAUAAGGAUCGGCUAACUCCGUGCCAGCAGCCGCGGUAAUACGGAGGAUCCGAGCGUUAUCCGGAUUUAUUGGGUUUAAAGGGAGCGUAGAUGGAUGUUUAAGUCAGUUGUGAAAGUUUGCGGCUCAACCGUAAAAUUGCAGUUGAUACUGGAUAUCUUGAGUGCAGUUGAGGCAGGCGGAAUUCGUGGUGUAGCGGUGAAAUGCUUAGAUAUCACGAAGAACUCCGAUUGCGAAGGCAGCCUGCUAAGCUGCAACUGACAUUGAGGCUCGAAAGUGUGGGUAUCAAACAGGAUUAGAUACCCUGGUAGUCCACACGGUAAACGAUGAAUACUCGCUGUUUGCGAUAUACUGCAAGCGGCCAAGCGAAAGCGUUAAGUAUUCCACCUGGGGAGUACGCCGGCAACGGUGAAACUCAAAGGAAUUGACGGGGGCCCGCACAAGCGGAGGAACAUGUGGUUUAAUUCGAUGAUACGCGAGGAACCUUACCCGGGCUUAAAUUGCAGAUGAAUUACGGUGAAAGCCGUAAGCCGCAAGGCAUCUGUGAAGGUGCUGCAUGGUUGUCGUCAGCUCGUGCCGUGAGGUGUCGGCUUAAGUGCCAUAACGAGCGCAACCCUUGUUGUCAGUUACUAACAGGUUCCGCUGAGGACUCUGACAAGACUGCCAUCGUAAGAUGUGAGGAAGGUGGGGAUGACGUCAAAUCAGCACGGCCCUUACGUCCGGGGCUACACACGUGUUACAAUGGGGGGUACAGAGGGCCGCUACCACGCGAGUGGAUGCCAAUCCCCAAAACCUCUCUCAGUUCGGACUGGAGUCUGCGACCCGACUCCACGAAGCUGGAUUCGCUAGUAAUCGCGCGUCAGCCACGGCGCGGUAAAUACGUUCCCGGGCCU
rnacentral:rRNA from 1 species